CAGCCUGAUGCAGCCAUGCCGCGUGUAUGAAGAAGGCCUUCGGGUUGUAAAGUACUUUCAGUCGUGAGGAAGGCGUUGUCGUUAAUAGCGGCAUCGUUUGACGUUAGCGACAGAAGAAGCACCGGCUAACUCCGUGCCAGCAGCCGCGGUAAUACGGAGGGUGCGAGCGUUAAUCGGAAUUACUGGGCGUAAAGCGCAUGCAGGUGGUUUGUUAAGUCAGAUGUGAAAGCCCGGGGCUCAACCUCGGAAUAGCAUUUGAAACUGGCAGACUAGAGUACUGUAGAGGGGGGUAGAAUUUCAGGUGUAGCGGUGAAAUGCGUAGAGAUCUGAAGGAAUACCGGUGGCGAAGGCGGCCCCCUGGACAGAUACUGACACUCAGAUGCGAAAGCGUGGGGAGCAAACAGGAUUAGAUACCCUGGUAGUCCACGCCGUAAACGAUGUCUACUUGGAGGUUGUGGCCUUGAGCCGUGGCUUUCGGAGCUAACGCGUUAAGUAGACCGCCUGGGGAGUACGGUCGCAAGAUUAAAACU
rnacentral:rRNA from 1 species